rnacentral:rRNA from 1 species
GGCAUGGGCAGCUACCAUGCAGUCGAGCGGAUGAGGGAGCUUGCUCCUGGAUUCAGCGGCGGACGGGUGAGUAAUGCCUAGGAAUCUGCCUGGUAGUGGGGGAUAACGUCCGGAAACGGGCGCUAAUACCGCAUACGUCCUGAGGGAGAAAGUGGGGGAUCUUCGGACCUCACGCUAUCAGAUGAGCCUAGGUCGGAUUAACUAGUUGGUGGGGUAAAGGCCUACCAAGGCGACGAUCCGUAACUGGUCUGAGAGGAUGAUCAAUCACACUGGAACUGACACACGGUCCAGACUCCUACGGGAGGCAGCAGUGGGGAAUAUUGGACAAUGGGCGAAAGCCUGAUCCAGCCAUGCCGCGUGUGUGAAGAAGGUCUUCGGAUUGUAAAGCACUUUAAGUUGGGAGGAAGGGCAGUAAGUUAAUACCUUGCUGUUUUGACGUUACCAACAGAAGAAGCACCGGCUAACUUCGUGCCAGCAGCCGCGGUAAUACGAAGGGUGCAAGCGUUAAUCGGAAUUACUGGGCGUAAAGCGCGCGUCAGGUGGUUCAGCAAGUUGGAUGUGAAAUCCCCGGGCUCAACCUGGGAACUGCAUCCAAAGACUACUGAGCUAGAGUACGGUAGAGGGUGGUAGAAUUUCCUGUGUAGCGGUGAAAUGCGUAGAUAUAGGAAGGAACACCAGUGGCGAACGCGACCACCUGGACUGAUACUGACACUGAGGUGCGAAAGCGUGCGGAGCAAACAGGAUUAGAUACCCUGGUAGUCCACGCCGUAAACGAUGUCGACUAGCCGUUGGGAUCCUUGAGAUCUUAGUGGCGCAGCUAACGCGAUAAGUCGACCGCCUGGGGGAGUACGGCCGCAAGGUUAAAACUCAAAUGAAUUGACGGGGGCCCGCACAAGCGGUGGAGCAUGUGGGUUUAAUUCGAAGCAACGCGAAGAACCAUACCUGGCCUUGACAUGCUGAGAACUAUUCCAGAGAUAGAUUCGUGCCUUCGGGAACUCAGACACAGGUGCUGCAUGGCUGUCGUCAGCUCGUGUCGUGAGAUGUUGGGUUAAGUCCCGUAACGAGCGCAACCCUUGUCCUUAGUUACCAGCACCUCGGGUGGGCACUCUAAGGAGACUGCCGGUGACAAACCGGAGGAAGGUGGGGAUGACGUCAAGUCAUCAUGGCCCUUACGGCCAGGGCUACACACGUGCUACAAUGGUCGGUACAAAGGGUUGCCAAGCCGCGAGGUGGAGCUAAUCCCAUAAAACCGAUCGUAGUCCGGAUCGCAGUCUGCAACUCGACUGCGUGAAGUCGGAAUCGCUAGUAAUCGUGAAUCAGAAUGUCACGGUGAAUACGUUCCCGGGCCUUGUACACACCGCCCGUCACACCAUGGGAGUGGGUUGCUCCAGAAGUAGCUAGUCUAACCGCAAGGGGACGGUACCACGGAUAUCAGGUGU